rnacentral:hammerhead_ribozyme from 1 species
AUCUAACUGACGAGUCCCAAACAAGACGAAAUGAGCACCUUGGAU